rnacentral:rRNA from 1 species
UACAGAGGGGGCAAGCGUUGUUCGGAAUUACUGGGCGUAAAGGGCGCGUAGGCGGCCGCCUAAGUCAGACGUGAAAUCCCUCGGCUCAACCGGGGAACUGCGUCUGAUACUGGGUGGCUUGAAUCCGGGAGAGGGAUGCAGAAUUCCAGGUGUAGCGGUGAAAUGCGUAGAUAUCGUAAGGAAGACCAGUGGCGAAGGCGGGUCUCUGGACAGUUCCUGACGCUGAGGCACGAAGGCCAGGGGAGCAAACGGG